rnacentral:rRNA from 1 species
UACGAAGGGGGCUAGCGUUGCUCGGAGUCACUGGGCGUAAAGCGCACGUAGGUGGGUCGUUAAGUCGGGGGUGAAAUCCCAGAGCUCAACUCUGGAACUGCCUUCGAUACUGGCGACCUUCGAGUUCGGGAGAGGUGAGUGGAACUGCGAGUGUAGAGGUGAAAUUCGUAGAUAUUCGCAAGAACACCAGUGGCGAAGGCGGCUCACUGGCCCGAUACUGACACUGAGGUGCGAAAGCGUGGGGAGCAAACAGG